rnacentral:rRNA from 1 species
UACGUAGGGGGCAAGCGUUGUCCGGAAUUAUUGGGCGUAAAGAGCGUGUAGGCGGUCCGGUAAGUCAGCUGUGAAAGUCAAGGGCUCAACCCUUGAAUGCCGGUUGAUACUGUCGGGCUAGAGUCCGGAAGAGGCGAGUGGAAUUCCCGGUGUAGCGGUGAAAUGCGCAGAUAUCGGGAGGAACACCAAUGGCGAAGGCAGCUCGCUGGGACGGUACUGACGCUGGAGACGCGAAAGC